UACGUAGGGUCCGAGCGUUGUCCGGAAUUACUGGGCGUAAAGAGCUCGUAGGUGGUUUGUCGCGUUGUCCGUGAAAACUCACAGCUCAACUGUGGGCGUGCGGGCGAUACGGGCAGACUGGAGUACUGCAGGGGAGACUGGAAUUCCUGGUGUAGCGGUGGAAUGCGCGGAUAUCAGGAAGAACACCCGUGGCGAAGGCGGCUCUCUGGAACGCAACUGACGCUGAGACGCGAAAGCGUGGGGAGCAAACAGG
rnacentral:rRNA from 1 species